UGAGGAAUCUUCCGCAAUGGACGCAAGCCUGAUCCAGCCAUGCCGCGUGAGUGAAGAAGGCCUUCGGGUUGUAAAGCUCUUUUUACCAGGGACGAUAAUGACGGUACCUGGAGAAUAAGCCCCGGCAAACUUCGUGCCAGCAGCCGCGGUAAUACGAAGGGGGCUAGCGUUGUUCGGAAUUACUGGGCGUAAAGCGCACGUAGGCGGAUUGUUAAGUCAGAGGUGAAAUCCCGGAGCUCAACUUCGGAACUGCCUUUGAUACUGGCAAUCUCGAGUCCGGAAGAGGUUAGUGGAAUUCCCAGUGUAGAGGUGAAAUUCGUAGAUAUUGGGAAGAACACCAGUGGCGAAGGCGGCUAACUGGCGCAUUUCUGACGCUGAGGUGCGAAAGCGUGGGGAGCAAACAGGAUUAGAUACCCAAGUAGUCCCUGAGCGGGCUGGCAAGGCGCAU
rnacentral:rRNA from 1 species